AUUGAACGCUGGCGGCAUGCCUUACACAUGCAAGUCGAACGGUAACGCGGGGCAACCUGGCGACGAGGGCGAACGGGUGAGUAAUGCAUCGGAACGUGCCCAGUAGUGGGGGAUAGCCCGGCGAAAGCCGGAUUAAUACCGCAUACGACCUACGGGUGAAAGGGGGGAUCGCAAGACCUCUCGCUAUUGGAGCGGCCGAUGUCAGAUUAGGUAGUUGGUGGGGUAAAGGCCUACCAAGCCUACGAUCUGUAGCUGGUCUGAGAGGACGCCCAGCCACACUGGGACUGAGACACGGCCCAGACUCCUACGGGAGGCAGCAGUGGGGAAUUUUGGACAAUGGGCGCAAGCCUGAUCCAGCCAUGCCGCGUGCGGGAAGAAGGCCUUCGGGUUGUAAACCGCUUUUGUCGGGGAAGAAAUCUUCUGGGCUAAUACCUCGGGAGGAUGACGGUACCCGAAGAAUAAGCACCGGCUAACUACGUGCCAGCAGCCGCCGUAA
rnacentral:rRNA from 1 species